rnacentral:sRNA from 1 species
UACCGCAUAUUUUGUUACGGGAUUGGUC